AUGGAUCUCAUUUCAGAAGACAGAUGCUAUUCCACCCGAUAACAGAAGUUGGGUAGAAGAAUGGCGGAUCCAUGCUGUGUCCUACAGAGCUCUCAGUUUCUGCUCUGGGCCAACGUAGACAUGAAGACUCUUCACUUUUAUCAGGAGGAGCCAGGAAUGAUAGGAACCUGCAAAUGAGCAGAAAGGAUCUGAUGAUUAAACUUUCUUCUGAAGCUAUUAGAAAUUCAAGUCGGUGAGUUACUUUGCUCCUAGGUUUUUAUUGCCAACUCUAAUUCUGCACUAUGUUGCAGAGUGGGGUCUGGGGGAGCGGAAUUAUUCCCUUACUAUCUGCUACUUUGUCUACUGAAAUUGAUCAAAGCUGUAACAAAAACAUUUCUAGAAAUCAUUGAAUGGGAUAGGAAAAACUGUGGGCAUGGAGUCAGAACAAAGUAUCUUUUGGAGUUCUUUUUCAGGUCUAAAAUUCUUUGCCAGAAGUGUUCUUUAAUGGAAACUCCAGACUGGGUAGGAAAACAGGGCAUAGUAUUUUUUUAAAAAGGCAUGGGCAGGAAUGAAAUAAAUGCAGUCCAAAGGGGGAAUGCAAGACUUAUGCAAUCUGAGGAAACUUUGAUUUAGGGUAAACCCUCCAAAGGUAAACCUUUCGGCGAGGCUAUUAGCUAAGUGCAUGGACUGCAGAUUUGUAUUACUGAAAAAUUAGAGCGGUGGUUUGGGACGUGCUGGUUUCUCAGAGGGAUGGUCACGGAGGUUCCAAUGAGGAGGCGUCGCCUGGCCCCAGGAAGCGCCUAAGUUCCGCGUCUCCAUUUGCGCAGCUCUUGCGGGACCCCCCCCACAGCGGACUCCAGGUCGGCCGCGCGCACAGGUGCAUCAGCCUCGAGGCAGGCGGGGUUCCGGCACGCCCUCAACGGCGCCCAGUGUCCGUUGCAGGUGGUUGGGGCAGGGACACGCGCAGCACGCGCGGAAAUAGCCGUUACCCAACGGCCUUUGCUCUCAUGAUAGAGAGCCACUGAUAGAAAAAGUAAACUGUGGAAUAGUAAACUGUGGAAAAGUAAACUGUGGAAUAGUAAACUGGAAAAGUAAACUGUGGUGUUACCUAAAAAUAAAUCUAUGUAUGAUUACUAGGUAAUCACCUCCUGGUCAUGCUCCCGCUGGUCAUCAGUGUCCGUUGGGCAACCCCACCGGGCCUAUGGCUGCCCUUAAGGCGGGAGCGUGCGCAGCGGAGACUCUGCAGGACUCCAGACAGCGCUUCUUUCCCUUGCUGGUCUGGCCCUGAAAUGAGGGAGGAGGUUUUUUUUUUCUUUUUUUUAUGAGACGGUUUCACUUUUGUUACCCAGGCUGGAGUGCAAUGGCGCAAUCUCCGCUCGCCGAAACCUCCGCCUCCUGGGUUCAGGCAAUUCUCCUGUCUCAGCCUCCUGAGCAGCUGAGAUUACAGGCACAAGCCACCAUGCCCAGCUAAUUUUUUGUAUUUUUAGUAGAGACGGGGUUUCACCAUGUUGACCAGGAUGGUCUUGAUCUCUUGACCUCGUGAUCUACCCGUCUUGGCCUCCCAAAGUGCUGGGAUUACAGGCGUGAGUCACUGCGCCCGGCCUUUUUUCCUUUUUCUUUUGGAAGAGUUGGUCACUCUUGUUACCCAGGCUGGAGUGCAAUGGCUCAUGGCAACCUGAGGGAGGAGGUUUAACAAUGCAGUGGGAACCCCAAACUCUCUCCUCCCUGCCUCUCACAUUUUGAACAAUACAAGAGCUUGAGGAAAACCUUAGCAGUUGAAACUAUGUUGCAGUUGAGCAAAGAAGGAGCUCCUGUCCUGGUAAAAUCAGUGAUGUUCUCAAGGAUAUCCUCAUUGAGUGAGUCGAGAAGCUUGCUGACUUAAUCAGAAUGAUCUCCCAGCAUGCAUUUUCCAAUACUCUCAUUUGUCAAUGAUAUGAGUGGCUGCAAAGUCGAAGAACAGGCCUUUAGUCAUAGUCUGUUCACCUGUCUUGGCUCACUGCAACCUCUGCCUCCUGGAUUCAAGCGAUUCUUCUGCCUCAGUCUCCUGAGUAGCUGGGACUACAGGUGCACACCACCACACCCAGCUAAUUUUUGUAUUUUUAGUAGAGAUAGGGAUGCACCAUAUUGGCCAGGGUAGUCUCGAACUCCUGACCUUGUGAUCCACGCGCCCCCCCCUUGCCCUCCCAAAGUGCUGGGAUUAUAGGCGUGAGCCACUUCACCCAGCCUUACAUUUAUAUUAUUAAAAAGAGAUUCCCCCCAAACUCUAUAAGCAUCAGGGACCAACUUUGGACAUCAUUAACUGGUUCCCUGGCCUAAGUCAGUUUACCUAUGGACUUACUCUAAGGAAAAGAUGUUUUUUUUUUUGUAGGACAGCCCUGCAAUACCCAUUAGGGUUGUGAGAACAAGGACUCCCAUCACUGCUGGUAAGGAGAGCAACAAUAACUCUUGGCCUGCAGUAGCAUGUAUUUACUAAAGCUUUUACCAUUUAAAUGAAUUAACUAUCAGUGUGUAAAAAACUAUCCCAAACACUUAAUGGCUUGAAGCACCAACCAUUUUUUUAGCUCCUGAGUGGCUCUGAUGAUCUGGCCCAGGUCCAGCUGGUUCUAGAUGGGGCCAGCUAGUGCCCCAUAGUUAGUGUCAUCCAAUCAUCCAAUUGGCCAAAGGGUGGCCGCAGCUGAGAUGACUCAUCUCCUCCCUCCUCCAUGGUGUCUCUCAUCUUCCAAGAGCUUGUUCAGGUGGCAACUGGGCAGGCUCCAAGAGAGAGAAAGAAGCACAUAGGGCUUCUUAAGGUCUAGAUUCAGAACUGGCAAUCAUGACUUCUACUAUUUUCUGUUUUCCAAAGCAAGCAAAUGUAUCUUAUUUCUUUUGGCACAGAUUUAUUACAUUUGUAAUUAUAAACAGCUUUGAGUGGCAAUGAACCCUUGCUGGUGGUAAUAAUAGAUUAAUACCUCUAUGAUGGUUAUGGUGAUAACAGUUGUAGAGUUACAAGGAGAAAAGUCAAGUGUUUAAACAGCAUUGUCUUGGCCAAGAAGUGACUAAAACAAAACUACAGUCUUACUUUUGGCACCUUAUAUGCUAUAGUAAAAUGAAUAUUGUCUUUAAAUAAGACCUGUCCUGAAUUCUACCUCCGGUGUUUAUUAACUGUGUGAACUUGGGAAUGUUGGUAACAUUUCUGAGUCUCAGUUUCACAUCUGUAUAGCAGAGAUAUCUGUUUCAUAAGAUUGUGUUAAAUAAGAGUAAUUGUACAUUAAAAUACCUGUCAGCCAGGUGCAGUGACUCAUAACUGCAAUCCCAGCACUUUGGGAGGCCGAGGCAGGCAGAUCACGAGAUCAGGAGAUCCAGACCAUCCUGGCUAACAUGGUGAAACCCCUUCUCUACUGAGAACAUAAAAAAUUAGUCUGGUAUGGUGGCAGGCACCUGUAGUCCCAGAUACUUGGGAGGCUGAGACAGGAGAAUCACUUGAACCUGGGAGGCAGAGGUUGCAACGAGAUAGCACCAUUGCACUCCAGCCUGGGUUACAGAGUGAGACUCCAUCUCAAAAAGUAAAAAAAAAAAAAAAAGCCUGUCUUCUCAUGGGUUGGGUUGCCUUUCAUUACUUAAACCCAAGGUUUUAUUUUGGCAUCCUUUUGCCUCUCAAAUGUCUUCUGAGAUUCAAGUUAGCCAUUCUUGUUUUUUAAACUCCAAAGGUCAAAGAAGGUUUCCAGCCUCUAUACAGAUGAGAGCAAUGGAAGCAGUAGCUGUGGUCUUAAGCAUUUCCCUGGGCCCUCUUCCUCUAAUUUUCUCCUAAACAGCUUCAGCUGAUGCUGUGUCCAGGGAUUAAAUAAAAUCUCAGAGAUAUUAAAUUGCCCAUAGGCACCAGAGACAUUUCUGAGAGCAAUGAAGAGCAUUCAGCAGGUACACAGGCUUCUUUUCAGUUCCUGGAAAACAUCAAACUCCUUGCUGAUGGGGAGUUUCCUGUUCUAAUGCUUGAAAUACUGAUUUCUCCUCUCACCCCCUUCACCUUUGCUGACUCUUGAACUUGGAAGCUUUCAUCAUUGCAGUAGCAGGGUGACGUGCAAACCAAGGCCAGGCUGUACAUGGAAUUCUCCUUCUGUGAGACAGAAGACAGCAUAAGUAAGGUGACUAGCAUAAUUCUGAGCUUGCCGAUCAGAAUCUUUUACACCUAGAAUAAGGCAAGAGGUAUUCCAUUUGUUACCAUAUCACAUCAAAGAGCACAUCACCAGAAACCUGUGUCCAGCUCUUCUUGACAUCACAUACUCUACACUCCCAUCAGCGUGUCUGACUUUGGAGGUGUACCUGCAGACAGGUGGAGCAGAAAGAAUCAAGGGAAACAGGCAAGUGGUUCCUUUUGUUACUUACCAUAUUAAAUAUAAAUCUAAAGACAAAGAUAAAUCUAAUCUUGGACAAACCUACCAUACCUUUGAUCAGUUGGGCCCCUCUGGGAUUUGGAUUUGAAUACAUGAAUAUAUCUGGAGGGCAUGCAACCUCCGCCCCCACCCACCCCCGCUGGGGUUCAAGCAAUUCUCCUGCCUCAGCCUCCCUAGUAGCUGGGAUUAUAGGCACCUGCUACUGCACCCAGCUUAUUUUUGUAUUUUUAGUAGAGAUGGGGUUUCACCUUCUUGGCCAAGCUGUCCUUGAACUCCUGACCUUGUGAUCCACCCGUCUUGGCCUCCCAAAGUGCCGGGAUUAUAGGCAGGAGCCACUGUGCCUGGCUGUGACAUUUUCAAUUCCAUAAGUUAAGUUUGGUUCUUUCUUAAAAUGGUUAUGUCAGUUUUUAACUUUUAGAUUAUUUUACUGGCUUCCUUGGAUUGGGUUUUAACUUUCUCCUGAAACUUGUUGAGCUUCCUUGCCAUCUAGAUUCUGAAUUCUCUGUCAUUUCAGCCAUUUCAAUCUGGGGAGCUAGUGUGAUUUUUUGGAGGUAAAGAGGCACUCUAUUUGAAUUGCCAGCGUUUUGUACUGAUUCUCAUCUGAGAGGGCUGAUGUUCCUCUAUUUUAUUGGAGUUGCUGUCAUUGGAUGUGGCUUUUUGUUUUUAUAUCUUUACUUCCAUCGAAGGUUUGACUGUGGGGUAUGUUGAGUAUAGUUGAUAGGCUUAGUUUCUGGGUGCUUUUAGAUUCCUGCAUUGGCAUUCACAGGUGAUGUGCGCUAAAGGCAUUUUCAUUUGGUGGUGUAAUGAAAGCCGUAAUCCAGUAGACAGCGCUUGAGUGUAAGGGUCAGCAGAUAGGCUUUCUGCCACAUGUCUCCUUUGUAUUUCAGCAUGUUUGCAGCAGUAUUUUUGGCGGCAUGGGGAACUGAGGAGGGACAGUGAGAGAUGACCCCCUCACUUAGUACAUUCUCAGGAUUUAGGAAAGCCCUGCCAAUCACCGGCACUGCACCCAUAUUUCCUUAGCCCCAAGGGGGGCUCUGGCAGGCUGCACUCCCACCUCCCUUAGGGGCAGCCUGAGCUGAAGGUUAGAUCUCCAGAAGACGUGAAGCUCCCCAAGGGCCCACUGAUCGCUGUGCUUGGCAGAGUCUGAGCAGGUUGUGGGUUAUAUCUGCAGGUGUCUGUGGAUGCAGUGGGUCAAGGGUGGAAGAUCCCUGGGGAGGGCGGUGUUGCUGUGAGUGUGUAGCUGGUGUGGCACCUGCAGCCCAGGGUUUUUUGCCCAGCAGAUGGUUGUGGGAACCACCCAGAUUGUGCUAUCCAGAUUGGGUCUCCUGGUGUUUGCCCUGGUAGCUGGCUCAGCCAGUAGUUUUGUCCCAAGCCUUCUGCACUAGAUCUCUGGGUUGUUAAGUGCUCUGGGCUUUGGGACACCCUUGGGCAGAGGCUGCAGCUGGCAAAUAAACUACAUCCUUUUUAUACCAGUGUUGCAGGGGGAGGCAGGCCUGGCUUUCACACUAGCUCAUGAACCUGUGCCUCACUAUUCUCAGUGUUCUGAGAAUGGAGGCUCCUCUCUUGCUGGAGCUCCAGUCACAGAUGUCAGCUCAAUACUCCCGAGCUAUGUGUUCACAAACUGGGGGCUUGGGACUGGGCCUGCAGCUUUGUCCUCUUGCGGUUGAGCACUGGCUGUGCUGAGGGGGGCCAAAGUGUUCCCAGGCAAGGCAGCAGAGGCUGUGCUUUGUGCAUGCUCUUGCAGGAGAAUGUUGAGAAACAUUAAGUUUACCCUGCCCCCAUAGCUCCUUUGUGAAGGAUACCUUUUAGUUUGUAAUUAGUGGUAGGUGGGUAGCAGCCGCCUACUUGGUAUAUUCUUGGGUUAUAUGUAUAUGGAGAACACCUGUGUAUUGAUAAGGCUCACCUGUCAAAGAGCAAAUAAAUACGUGGAUGAGAAUCUGCUGAGGGCCUUCAGCUUGGGGAGCUGUCAGCCCUAGAGACUCUCAGGCUGUUGGUCCCCAGGACAGGUCCACUCUGUUGUGCCGUCUGGGUGUCUGCCUCUCAAUACCUUCAGCACUGCCUGGGAGAGGGUCUCCCGACGGAGCUGGUUCUUGGUAGGAGAAGGGCCUUGGGAGGGGCCAGUGGAUGUGGAGCAGGGGGUAGGGGGAGUGGGGGGAGAUCAGAUGCACCUUGGUCCCACAGGAAAGACAGCCCUGCUCUCUCCUGGACCCGACAGUGAGCACGAGCUAGAGCCACUCAGAGCAAGAUGGGGUGCCUUGGAGGAUGGGUGCCUUUGAUUGUGUUUUGCUGCAGCUUCCCUGCAACACAAAACCUUCUGGCUCCAUGCAGGCCUGAGCUCUGCUUCUGUCUACUUUCCGGGCAGUUACCCCUGCCAAUGAAAAACUCUGGGGUCAUGGAAUCUCUUGUGGCUAGGAUCGCAAAAUCUAUUAAUUAACUAAUCUCUAUUCUUCCUACACAUUCUCUUUUUUAUCUUUAACCUCUUUAUGCCCAUCACAGUGCAAAGAACAGUUUAAUACAGAGAAGAUGCUCAAUAAAUGUUUGCACAGUAAAUGAAAAUACUUCUUGAUUUGCCAAAGGAUUCCUUCAAAUUGUUUGUUCCUUUGGUGCAUUGGUUUUCAAAAUUUUCAGCUGUGAAUAAACCUUUUCUCAAAUGCAGUCUUACCUGAGACUCUAUUUGCAAAAUGUAAAAGCUCAGGUGCUCUAGUCGGAGAGGACAGGCAGGGAGAUUGGGGGUCUGAAGCUGUGCAUGCUCACUCCCUCCUUUCCCUACUUUUGUGAUGGAGUUUCUGUGCUGUACACUUGGCAUGUCAAGGCACAUUAAAAAUGCGAUUUUAGUCAUUACAUUUAUUAAACACAACUUUUGAGGCUCCCAUCACUUGCGUUUAGACACCUGAAUAUCAGUCUUAUUCUCAUUUCUGGAGUUGUUCACAUUGUUGACAUUUACUGCCAUGAGUGGGUAGAUUUUCUAUUUUGGUCAGCUUCAAUAGGAAGUAUAACAAUCAAACACAAAGUGGUGUGUGAACUCUUCUCCUGCUUGAGAAGGGUUGGCAGGGCAACGAGGAGCCGUUCUCCUCAGGUCUCAGGAUAUAGGCAAAUAGUGAUAAAUAUAUUGUCAUACAUGAGAAAGAAGAGUCACUUCCAUUAAUCUCAUGCUUUUGCUGAUGGCUGAACACAAAACUCUCUGCACGCGUUGUUUCCUAAAUCCUCAAAGACAUUCUAUUAUGCCAAAAAAAGCCUCAUCAAACCUAGCUUUCUUUGCUUUCCUAUUAAGCCACCAGUGACUGCCUAGGAUGAAUUUGGAUGAUGUUAUUUGCUGGUUGCCAGGUUCCCUCCCGUUCCCUCUUGUCACCACUUUCAUUUGUUCCUUGCUUUUUGCUCCUGCUGCAUUUCCUUUGUUGGGAUGCCUGAUGAGUAUUUGAAAUUCUUGUGUCAGAUUUACAAGAGCCUAGGUUACCUUUAGUGCUUCAAGACAAUAGAAACCAACAGAAAUUCAUCUAAAUCCCCUCCCAGAAAACUAAGGAGACACAUCUGUUGGAAGCUCCAGUAGUCUUUCCUCAACUCUCUCCAUUGAAAUUAGGUUAGUAUCAAAAGAUGAUUUAUUAAAACUGAAUCAACUUUUUCCAUUGCCCACAAUGGCUCUUCCAAAGUUCAUCAGUUUCCUCAAGCUUCCAACCUUACAUCUCCCUGCCUCUGCAGAAAGUCUUGUUGCUACUGCUUCUAAAAAGACAGAACAGGCAAGAACACAUGCCUGAAAGUUUUAUCCCUCUCACCUCCAGAUUUGUUUGUCUUAUUUAUAUUUACCUUAUUUUUUCUACUUCUUGAAGAGAAGGGUUCUCUUGAGUGGCUGGACUACAGGCACACAUCACCACUCCUGGCUAAUUUAAAAAUUUUUUAUAGCGAUGGGGUCUCACGAUGUCACCCAGGCCACUCACUCUUGAACUCCUGGGCUCAAGUGAUCUUCCCACCUUGGCCUCCCAAAAUGGUGGGAUUACAGGCGUAAGACACUGCAACUGGCUUGUAAUGUAUAUUUUGCCAGCAUUCUUUGUUGUUUUCAGUAGGAGAGUCCAUCAAGAAAUCCAGUCUGAGAAUCUGCUGCAAACAGAAGCUUCUUUUUUUUUUUUCCAGAAUACUUUCUCCUAGGCUUAUUAGUAUGGCAAGAUGGAAUUUUUACCUUGCUCCUUAUAGUCCUUUUUAUUCCCCCAGGUAGAAGCCUUUGGUCUUUUAUGAGACAGAGUGAAGAGACAGAAAUUCUGUAAACAUAUUAUUUAUAAAAAUUAUGCUUAUGCUUUGUGAGGUCCCCAUUAUGAGCAAAAGAACCUUUUUGCCCUCAAACCUCACACUCUCUUGAGCUCUAAUCCUUCAUGUUCACUUACCUAAUGAACAUUUCAAUGUAAUUAGCCCUCAAACUCAACGUCUUUCAAAUGAAACCAUUUUCUCCAUCCAAUUCUGCUUCUCUUCUUGUAUUCUCUACUUCACUUAGGAGUUCUACUGUCCAGCCACUCAACCAGACACCAUAUGUUAGCACUGGGACUCUUUUUCAUGGACUGGUCAUUUUCCUGGGGUGUUUUGGGUGUCAGUUGCCAUUUUGAUGUCACAGCAUAUAUAUGUGUUCUGGUUUUCUGUUUGGCUUGUCACAGUCUUACUGAUUAUAGCGCAUUGCAGAAACUGUUGGGCUUCUCAGAAGCCAGCUUAGGCCUUUUGAACUCUAAAGAUCUUCCCAUUCACUUUUUCACCCUUGUAACAGUGCUCCCUAAUACAUCUGCUGAUAAACACUGGCACAAUCUAUUUAUUUGAUCCAUACUCAUUUUCCCGCAUAUGGAGACAAGCACCGUUAUCCAAUAGAGAAGUCUGGGUAUGUGUAUAUGAUUAAGAUUGUUAAGCUCUAUGUUCAUUUUGGUGCCAUGCUUUCUCUAUGAACUCCAAAUAACUUAUCUUCAAUUUCCCUUUAGCCUUGUUUUCACUGGUCUGGGUAUGUCAUGCUAUAAGAUUAACCAUACUUUACCUGCACAGCCUUAUUUGAUCUGUUUGCACUGACUUACCAUCCCACAUCCAGCCACCAGUCCCUGUCAGUUCUCUCCCCUACAUAUCUCUUGAAUGCCUCUUAAAUUAUGGCAUCUCUUUUUCACUUUCAUUUAUUUCAUAUGCCAAUACCCAUUGUAUCUCUCUUAGAUUUCUACAACAAGCUCCCAACGGAUCUUCCUUCAGAUUUCCACCAAACAUCAAAUGGUACUUACUGCAUCCAAAGUGAUCUUUCCAACAUGUAAAUUGGAUCACAUUGGAUGUCUUUUUCAAUCACUGAGGCAGAGUUUUUACUGGAAGGUGUCUCCUUCCACAACUGGCAUCUGCUGUUGGCAUCUGUACACUCUCCUGAAGACAGAUACUGGAAACAUCUCAAUCCACUUAAGUGUGCUCUAUUAUCCACUGAAAUUCCUGGGUUGCUUUGUGUAUCAAAUGACCUUGUAUUUGCUAUUCCUCAAAUCUUUGCCUUAGCAUUAAGUUGCAAAAAUGGAAGCCAAUCUGAUUAUAGUUGCACUCUUGUGUGAAGAGCCACACAGAGGCAGGCAUCUGCAGGAGCAAUAUUUUUUCUCCUUUUUAGAGAUACUUCCCUGCAUGUAGAAUAUAUUUCUCCCCGUGGCUAUAGAAUAAUAUCUAGGUUGAUCACUACUAAUCCAUUUGUCUUAAAAGCAAGUAACUCUGUAUUGUCUUUUACUUGUUGUUUUUUUUUUUUUUCUCCACAAAGGUAGAGUAAUGGCCAGGCGUGCUUGCUCACAUGUGUAAUCUUAGCAACUUGGGAGGCUGAAAUGAGAGGAUGGCUUCAGGCCAGAUGUUUAAGACUAGCCUGGGCCGGACAGCAAGAUCAUGUGUCUACAAAGGAAUAAUAAAAACUUAGCUGGGCCUGGUGGCACAUGCCUAUAGUCCUAGCUACUGGGUAGGCUGAGGCAGGAGGAUCACUUGGGCUCAGGAGUCCACGGCCGCAGCAAGCUACGAUCGCACCACUGCACUCCAGCACUCUAGCCUGCGUGGUAGAAUGAGACACUGACUCUUAAAGCAAAAAAAGGAACAGUGAUUUGGAGGAAACUCUGAGAAAGCUUUAAGAGAACACUUUUCUUUAGCCCUUAGCCUAACUACUCCCAUUUGCUAGUCUCGUAGAAGCUUAGAAUUAUCUUUCAAACUCAGUAAACAUUUUGAUUAAUUUCCUUUUGUUAUUCUGAAUCUCCUCCAAGUUCUGCUCCUAAGAAGUACUUCGUUGCUUCAUAUUGAUAACUCAAUUUCAUUCUCAACUCAAAGCCUUCCAGUCAAUAUAUUCUAACUUCUUUAUCUCUUUUUUAAACACUUUAGCAACUGGUGUCUUGUUUUACCCCUAGACAACAAUUUCAGAUGGUAGGUAGAUGGUAUGGAUACUGGUGUUAGUUUUGUGUAGGAAGACAACAGAAAUGGGAGCACUGUGUGUGUAUGCCCAAGGUGAAAUAGAUAUCAAGGGUGAGUUUCAAAUAUUUUCACCAAGAGGGAGCAGAAAAACUAUCCAUACAAUAAAAAGAAAAAGAAAAGGAAAGGGAAAAUAAUGAGCACCAACAAUUUCCAGUAGAGCUAACAGAAAUUUUUUAAAUGCUUGAAUAUGUGUUUCUAAAACAACUAAGCAAGCCUGUGAAUUGAUCUAAAAUUUACAUCAUUUGAUCUAAAAUUUGAAUCAAUUCAAAGGCUUGCUUGGUUGUUUUAGAAACACAUAUUCAUGCUCAGAUCUCUUAAUGCCCAUGCUAGUUGUGUGUGCUUUAGGCAACUUGCUUCCAUCUGUAAACCAAAAUUGUGAAUCUGACCAUUUCUUAAAAUAUCAGAUAACUGUUAGGUGAAAAAAAAGCACCUCACAAAAAUUUUACUUUUGAAUUCUAAGCCAGGGUGAAAUUUAAUCGCAGUUAUAAAUCCUCCAAGCAAGGAUUUAUCUGGAAUUGCCGACAUUACCCCAAGUUCAGCAAUGCAAAUGACACUGCUAUAAUAUAAGAAAUAAGAAAGCUUUCAGUAUGUUGUCUAAGAACUUGAGCACAUUGAAAGUGAUUUAUGAGCCAGCAGACUAAACAUUUAAAUGCCUUUCCUAGCAAUGGUAUAUUUUUCAAUACAGCAAGCAUUCUCAUAUAUGAUUCUACAUUCCAUGACAGCACUGCUCCUGACAAUAUAAGCCCUUUCUGAUAGGGUAACAUUUCCAAUCCAAGAUUAAAAUCUUGGAAACUUGUCAACAGAAAAGGAUGAUAAUAUGAGCAAAACUGCAGCUAUCAAAGAAAAAUGCCUUGCAAGUAAUUUCUGUAAUGGUCAACUUGCAGUAAUUUUAUCUUCCCCCUUCACUGUUAAGUAGAGGGGUUGGCCUGAAGGUCAUUUUAAUAUUUUGAAUAAGUACAGUUACAAAGCAGAGAUUCAUGAACACAGGAAAAAGAGUCAUUUAAUACCACAAAAUCAACUUUUUACAUUGCCUUGCUUAUUUCCAUUUCGAAUGCAGACUCUAGGGAAUGUUUUCUUUUAAUAAAUGGUGGUUUAAGCAAUGAGUUGACAAUAAACUCUUGAACUUCAUGAGGCACUAAAAAUUAGAGGCUCAGAGAGUCUUAAGUUUUCUUCGGUAUAUUUUCAUAAUUUUUUCUGUGCUAUUUUACUUAAUCUUGCACUACUCUAGAGACUAGAACUGAAUGACCUACUAGGACUUUGCAAUUUUUUUUCUUCUUACAAUUCUCUUUUUCUGUUUAGAAUGUGGGUGAUCUUUCUAAUCUUUGGUGUGCCUUUGGCUAUAUUGUGGGUAAAUUGGGAUGAUUCUUAGUUUUACCAGCUGCACAGAAUGAAGUAUGAAAAGGCAUUUGUAGGCCAAAGAGCGUAGCUGACAAAGUUGAGACCAUUUGUACGUUUUUAUUACUGCUAUCUUUCUAAAAUAUGUUAUUUUCAUCAUAUGCUAUAGAAGCUAAAGCAGACUUUAAGUUCUAAUUUUUAAUUCUUUCUUCAGUUAUACUUAUCUUUGUUUCUUUAAUGGUUUUUUUUUCCUGGAAUACACAGUGUUUCUCUUAUCACUGCUUGGAAUAUUUCAAAUCACAAAUAUACACACAUGUAUUCAAAUCACAAUAUACAUAUGAACAUAAACACACAUAUAUGUAGUCAUGCACUGCGUAACAGCCGUUCCAUCAAUGAUGAGCUGCAUAUAUGACAGUGAUCUGAUAAGAUUAUAAUACCAUUUUUUUACUGUACUGUUUCUAUGUUUAGAUAUGUUUAUAUACAUAAUUAUUUACCAUUGUGUUAUAAUUGCCUGCAGUAUUCAGUAAUGUAAUAGGUUUGUAACUUAGGAGCAAUAGGCUAUAUCAUGUAACCUAGGUGUGUAGUAGGAUGUAUACCAUCUAGGUUUGUGUAGGUACACUCUACGAUGUUUGCAGGGCAACAAAAUCACCUAAUAAUGCAUUUUUCAGAAAGUAUUCCCGUUGUUAAGCAGUGUAUGACUGUAUGUACACACACAGUCAUGCACAUAUAAACACACACACACACGCUCUGCUUUUUUUUUUUUUUGAGACGCAGUUUCGCUUUUGUUACCUAGGCUGGAGUGCAAUGGUGCGAUCUCGGCUCACCGCAACCUCCGCCUCUUGGGUUCAGGCAAUUCUCCUGCCUCAGCGUCCUGAGUAGCUGGGAUUACAGGAAUGCACCACCAUGCCCAGCUAAUUUUUUGUAUUUUUAGUAGAGACGGGGUUUCACCAUGUUAACCAGGAUGGUCUCGAUCUCUUGACCUCGUGAUCCACCAGCCUCGGCCUCCCAAAGUGCUGGGAUUACAGGCGUGAACCACCGCGCCUGGCCCCACACUGUGCUUUUUUAUUUCAGAACUUAAAUUUGCAUUUAUAUGUUAAUAAGUCAAGAAUUAUUCAGCAUAUAAUUAUUAGCCAUCUACUAUCCUCUGCCAGCCCUAUGCUGUGCUCUGGGGGAUAUCAGUUGUAAAUCAGACAUGUUCUACAGACAUGUAAGUCAGACACUUGGUUCAGGGAGCUCAUGAUCUGAUAAAGGAGCUAGACGUGUCAGUCAGCUAUCAUACUUCAAAGUGAUACUCCUAGAAAGGCAUAAGCAGAGAUGGGAAUGGAGGCUCAUAAGAUCAUUGAACUGAGUUUCAGGGAUAGAGAACUCUUCUAAAAAAUAUGGUUCUUGCAUCGCAGCAUCGUCACCACAUGGGAACUUUUAAAAAGUGGAAAUUCUCAGGCCCCAUCCCAGACCUAUUAAAUCGAAAACUCUAGGGAUGAGUCUUCCAUCUGUUUUGUAAAAAGUCCUCUGAGUGAUUCUGAUACAGGCUCAAGUUCUCAAACCAUUGUCCCGGGGGAAGUAACAACUUUGUAAGAAAAUGAUGCUCUAUUUACCAUCAGACUUGUUUACAUAAUUGAUACCUCUUGAUAAUUAAGUCAUCUGUUAAGAUCUCCCAUUGUUUUAUUUGUCUCUAAACUAUAAAACAAAAGCAAGAAAGAAAAAGGGGAAAAAAGAAACAGCUUCCAUUUCUAACAAAUGUUACUUACACUAUAUUCAGAACAAAUUUAAAUAGCUUAAAGGUAAAAAUCAGGCAAAUAACUAAUUAGAGUUACACAAUGCAAAGAAACACCAUUAACAACAAUAACAACAAGUUUCUUUUGAAAAUGAAAUAGGCGGGACUGACCAAAUUAAUCAAUCCUGUUUUCCUACAGUGCUACUUUGCUUUGUGAAUGUGAGAACAUCUGCAUCCUAGCACCCAAUAUUUUGGAGCACUCUUUUGAGAUAUCUCUAAGAGAUGAUAGAGCAAUUAAUUUUCAUUCUCAUUCCUAUGGAGUAAGAGCAGAAUUCACUCUCUUCUUACCCUGUACUCUUUGCUUCCUGGGAGUAAAGGCAAAUGGAAGAAAAGGAAACAUGGCUAAACAAUUAGAGCUGAACUAAUUUAAUGAUCUUUUGAUCUUUUAUAUUAUAGUUCUUCAUUAUUAUUAACACUUGAUAGUCCUUAUUUUUAUGAGUAUAUGUGUAUUUUCAUGUAUAAGAAUGAACAAUAUAAAAUUACUGUGAAUUGUUUUAUAAAGAAUUCUUUGAAAAUUAAAUUGGUAUCUUAAAAAUCAAAAUCCGAAAGGUGUUCAUUGAAUGGUAGCAAUAUGAAAUUGUUUCAAAACUGUCAUAAACAUUAUGCUAUAUUUUUAUCUUAUUAAAAUAUUAUUUAUCAUCUAAUCUGCCAUUAUAACAAUUUAGAUAGGUCAUCUUACAAAUCAUUUCAUGAAAUAUCAUUAGUUAGCUAGUGGGUCUAAGUUCUAUACAGUAGAGCUUCCAAAUAUCUCUCAUCAUUAUUAAAAAUAUACUCACGUACCUAUAACAAUAUUAAUAAUAUUCUUAAUCUGUUCUUCUCAUCCUGAUUUAUUUUAAGCUCCUAUCAUCUCUUGGGCUUUUUCAGUAUUUGCUAACUUGACUCCCAACCUUCUUGUCUUAUCCCCUGACCCCAUUCAAACUACCUCACCACCAGAUUUAUUUCUCUAGCAUGCAUAUAAAUAAUAUUAUUCCCAUAAUUAUAAUGUUUUAGGGACCUUUUCUGAAGUAAAGGCUUUCAUAGUCUAAUCUUUGUCAAUUUGUUGUUUUCAUCUUCGCACAGUACCAAUUUACCUAUUUCUUAAAGCUAUAUACAAUCAUUUGAAAUUUUUUGGAUUUGCUUACUCUUUUCUUGGUUCUGUGAGUUUGAGGCUGCAGUUUCCUCUAUCCAAAAUUCCCUCCCCUCCCUGGAAUGCCUAAACAACUCAUCAUUCAACAAUAGGCAACAUGCCUUUUUCGAAGGUGUUCUACCUCCUCCAGUAAACUAGACCCUUCGUAUUUGUCUCUGUAUAGUUGUAUAAAUUAUUUGUGUAUACAAAUACAUAUGGCAAAAAUAUGUGACUAGAGUAUACACACAUCUUUAAGAUAAUGCUGGCUGGGUGCAGUAGCUCAUGCCUGUAAUCCCUGCACUUUGGGAGGCCGAGGCAGGUGAAUCAUGAGGUCAGGAGUUCAAGACCAGCCUGUCCAAAAUGGUGAAUGCCUGUCUUUACUCAAAAUACAAAAAAAAAAAGGCGGCUGGACAUGGUGGUGGGAGCCUGUAAUCCCAGCUGCUUGGGAGGCUGAGGCAGGAGAAUCCCUUGAACCAGGGCGGCAGAGGUUGCAGUGAGCUGAGAUCAAGCUGCUGCACUCCAGUCUGGGUGAUAGAGUGCAACUCUGCCUCAAAAAAAAAAAAAAAAAAAAAGAUGAUGCUAUCUUUGGGUAGUGAAGAAAAAAGUUACUGUAUUUAUAAUGACUACUGUAUUUGUAAUAAUACAUUUCUUAAAAAAUAAUCUGAAGCCCACAUCCCACAUCACAGCAUGUUCAGAUUAGACAAACUUGGGUAGUGGUUAUAUGAAUGUUCAUUCAAAAUUUUUUUCUGUACUUUGUAAUAAGUUUACACUAUGUCUUGAUUUAAAAUAAAUUGAAAAAUAAAAUAGCUGACAGUUAACUUAUGGAAUAGAUAAUCAAGAGAGUUUGUAGAAUCUUUUCUUUGAUAGACUAUAGAAUGUUUGAUUAGGAAAGAAAGUUUUAAGGUUAUGAGUUAUGGGUUCCCCACUCACUCUGUAUUUGUGUUCCAGUCCACACUUCAGCACCUCCAUUUACAGGAAACCACCAAAGGUAGCCCAUCUGGAACUCCUGCUGUGACCCACAUCUUCUUGGAGGUUGUUAAUGUAGUCAUGGGUUCUCUCUUUUCUUUCCUUCUUUUUUUUUUUUGGUUCUCUCUUUUCAUUGCUUCAUUCUGUCUUCUCCAUAUGAUUUUAUUGAUGUCUCAUCAUCCUCUUGAUUGCUGUUUUUGGGAUACUAUAUAGAGAAGUUGUCCCUAUCCUUUUUGGCACUAGGGACUGGUUUCAUGGAGAACAGUUUUUCCAUGGACAGUGGUGGGGGUGGGGGGAUGGUUUUGGGAUGAAACUAUUCUAUCUCAGAUCAUUAGGCAUUAAUUAGAUUCUCAUAAGGAGCAUGCAACCUAGAUUCCUUGCAUGAGCAGUUACACAAUAAGGUUUGUGUUUCUAUGGGAAUCUAGUGCUGCUGCUGAUCUGACAGGAGGUGGAGCUCAGUUGGUAAUGCUCCUUUGCCUACCGCUCACCUCCUGCUGUGCAGCCUGGUUCCUAACAGGCAUGGACAAGUACCAGUCCGUGAGUCUCUCAAUGUGUGGAGUCCAAAAAUGAACAUAUGCUAUAUAGAGAAGAACAGAAGCACUGCUUGACUUAUUUUAGACACUGUACUUGUCUGACAUUAUCUCAGGUUUACAUUGAGGAUUCUGAAAGCAAAAUCACACAAAUGGAUCAUUUGAAGGCUGCUGCUGCCAAGUCUGGUUUCUUCCAGGCUGUAUUUUUACAAUUAAAUCCCUAGCGUUUAACAUGGUGGCUAAUACAAAAGAUUAAAAAUAUCUUAAUUGAAUUAAAAUGUUUCAUUGAAUCAUGACUCAUUAAUUCUACUGGAUACUAAUAUUCCAUUGGUUAUAAGUCUGUAAUUAUAAUAUCAUUCAGUCUGCUUUUUCCCCAUCUUGCCCUCAAGAGUGUCAUGAGAGAACUUGUCAAAAGGUUGUCUGAAAUCUAGAUACACUAUUUCUACUCUAUUUCUCUGAUCUCCCAGUGUAGUAACUCUGUCAGUAGGAAAUGAGGUUAAUCUGACAGGACUAUUCUAGUGAGCUCAUGCUGAGUUUACCACUUUCUUUUCUAAGUACUCACAAGGCAUUGUUUUUUAAAAAAAUCUUUCAAGAAUCUUGCCUGGGAUCAAUGUCAAGCUCAGUGCUCUGUAGUUCACAAACAUAAAUUUGUCCUUUUUUUUUUAUAAUUCCAAAUGACACUUGUUUGUAUCCAGUUUUCCAGAAACUCUUUUCCACUGUGGGAUUCCUUCAGUUUGAUGACAGCAAUUCAGCCGUAGCUACAAACUCUCUGAGUGUAUCGACACACACUCCUCAGGCAAGAGGCUAGGAAUCAUUUGGAGCAGCUCCCUUUAAUCUCUUCAGCUAUUUAAGAUACUUUUUUCAUUGAUGUGAGAAGAGAAUAGAAAGCUGAUUAGCCCAAACUGUAGCUGUGGUCCUGAUUGGCUUGAUGGCCAAUAUCAAAGUGAAUCAAGUCAAGUAAACAAUGUGUUAUUAACGGUUUGGAAGCCAAUGCAGAGCUGUGCUAGGUGCUUGGAGAAUGCAAUAAAACUAAGAGUAAAGAUAAAACCCCACACUUAUAAAUCUGAUAGUUAAGCUGGGGAAAGUAAAACUUGUAAUGCCCUAACCCAUUAAGUUUAAUUUGGGAGCAAAGCUGAGCUUCAAAGAACAAAACUCUUGCCAUCAAUAGGAAUUUAAAAAUAAGUUAUCUACUUAUAUUUUUUGGAUACUAUCGAGUAUACCCAGAGGCUCUAAAGUACUCUUUAUAAUUUCCUGCAUUCCUUUCCUGCACUUCUUUCACAUACAGCCCCUGAAAAUCUCCAGCUUUCCGGAGAAUCUCUACACUCCUUUUGUAUGUCUUCUCAUCUCUUCUCUUUCUGACCAUCCAUCUCAAAAGGCUUCAAACUGGUCUGCAAGAUGUCUCCUGUUGGAGGAAGGGGUCAGGGAAGAUAUUGAAGGAGGCUGAGACAAAUUUCUCAUUAGUAGCAUAGAAUGAAUACUGAGAAUACACAUAGGUUAAUACUUUUUAUUCUUCCAUAUUUUACUUAAUAAAAACAUGACAUCAGAUAAUAUACAUAAAGAGUGAAUUAUGUGGCAGGUAGUAAUUUGUAGAAAAAUGAAAAAUCAACCUAUCUUCAGUAAGUCAAGGCAUUUUGCAUGGAGGAUUUUGAACUGGCAGAGAAGGGAGAAAGUGUAUUAAAGAUUUUUUGAGGGUUGCAAUAUAGCUAUAGUGUCUAUUGGCUGCUUCAGUGACUAGAGAUUGAGUCUGAGUAUAGGCUAAGAUAAACCUUCAUUUGUGGCAAAGUUGGUAUUUGAGUUAAGAUAUGGUAUGCCGUUAGGAGAAGGAAGGGGCAAUGGUCUGCUGCUAGGCCAGACAGUUGUGUUACCAAGAUUGAUGGGAGGGCAUAAAGUGGGACUGGAAAGCAGACAGCAGGGAGAGUGGCUGAUAGAAACAGUGCCUUGGACCUGCGGAUCUUUCCACAUGUUCUGUCCUAUGUUAAGGGCUUCCCAUUUAUUGAACAUUUACUUUGUGCCACAAAUGCUGCUGGAUACUUUAGAUAGCUCUUCAUCAUUCCUCCAUGAUCCUGUAAAAUAGAUGGUAUGGUCAUCAUUUUACUUGUGAGAAAACUGAGCUCAGAGAGGUGAAGUCAUUUGCUGAAGCUUCCAUAUUACUGCUGAAUGGCAAAGUCAGAAUUUAAACUCAGAUAAAUCUGAUUUCAAAAGUAUUCCCUUUCUAUUGAAUGAUGUUGUCUAGAUGAAAAUUAAUCAAGAUGCAAAAAGACUUCUCCUUUUGUCCUUGUAAAACAUCUCGUAAUCAAAAGACGAGGCUAGAUUUUAUGCCAUCUUGCCAGUAGAUUGCUAUGUUCUGCUAGUUUUAUUAAAUAUAUUUUUCCUUCAUAUGUUACAGAAUAAGUGUAGUAUAACUGUUUCAGUGAAGUAAUGUUACUGAAGUACAGUAUACAGAAAACAUGUAUUUUCACAUUAACAUUCUAUUUGGGAGUUAAUAAUAUCAGAAAAGUGAAAUCUGCAAAGAUAUCUCUUUGCUACCUGAUUGUUUACUGCACUAGAGCAAUUCUUGGUGAAUGCCUGGCCUUUGGCUGAACUGAGCUUUCUAGUUAUUAAUGCAACAGGUGCUACAAAAUGAGGCCCAUGAACUAAAGGCCGAUUUUAGUGCAGAGGAUAAAAUGUGAAGCAAUAGAAAUCUCAGGAGAGGACAUGGUAUAUAGCGAUACAGUGUCCCUGCAAACAACAGACACACAAUGCUGAGCAAGGGCUCUUCUAAAAUGCUCUGGCUGUUAAUCCAAUCGGAACCCUGAACUCUAAAUUAAAGCAGGAAAAGAACAGCAGAAAGACAAAGUACCCAUGACCUAGAGCAGAGAGGUCCUGAGAGAGAACAUUGCAGAAGCAAUAAGCAUCUUUUUCUUUUCGUUUCUACUUGCUGUCAUUUCUUUACAGGGAUUUAGAAUGCCUGGUUGGAAUAACUUGAGUAAAAGCAUGCAGAUGUGUGAGUGGGGAAUGAGAUUUUGGAAGGACAUGGACUGGAAGCAACUUGCAAUGCUGGGAUAUUCCUGUGUAGACGUAAAGGAGGUGUGUGUGCAAUGUGAAUAUGUGUGUGUGCACGUAUGCGUGCACGCAUUUACAAGGUUUUCUUGUAAUUUGCUUUACUCAAAGUCUAUAAAUCUAGAAAGUACCCUCACAGCAACAUCUAUACUGGUGUUUGAAUAGGCUCAAAGUCAAGCAGGACUAUGUGUAAAUGAUUGCUUCAUUUUUAUGUACACAGAAUCCUUUCCUUAAGUCCUGUAAUAGCUCCAUCUUUUCUUUUGGUUGCUGAGAUGUUCCCUGGUUCUUCUUCAGGUAUGGUCUCCUUCUUGCAGCAAGUUAAUAAGGAGCAUCCCUGAUGAUCUUUAUUUGAUGGUCUGUAACAGCAUAGUCUCAAUAUUUAGUUACUGAAUAAAUGGGCAUAGGAAUCAGGAAUUGCGGAUUUUGCACCUACCUCUAUGUUGAGUGAGAGACCCUGAGCAAUAGAGCAGAUAUUUAAAGUGUGGGAUCUGUGUCAAGGCUCACUGGCAUGGAUGCUUCCUAAUGGCGGGACCUUAGACAGAUCCUCUGAGACCUAUGAACUGUUAGUUUUCUUCUUUAUUAAAAGUGGGCACUAAUAUUGCCAAUUUAAUAAGGAAGUUGUUGAACUAAAUAAGAUGAAGAGACUAUGAUGUUUAAUAAUCUGUGUCAAUUUGACUAAGCUAUGGCAUCUAGUGAUUUUGUAAAAAACUAGUCUAGAUAUUGCUGUGAAGGUAUUUUUCAGACCUGUAGACUUUUGAAAACAAAGCAGAUUACCAUAAUGUAGGUGAGCCUCAUUCAAUCAGGUGACGGCCAUAAGAGCAAAGACUGAGGUUUCCUGAAGAAAAAGCAAUUCUUUCUCAAUACUGCAACAGAGAAACCCUGCCUGAGUUUCCAACCUGCAGAUUUCAGACUCAAGAGUGCAACAUGAACUCUUACCUGACUUUUAGCCUGCCACACUGCUCUACAGAUUUCAGAUUUACCAAUAACUUACAUGCUGAUUCCUUAAACACUUCUCUCUGUAUCUCUCUUUCUCUAACAUAUAUACACACAUAGCUCAUAUAUACAUACACACACACAUGCACAUAUGGAGAGAGAGAGAGAGAGAUUGCAUACACGCACAUUUCUCUGAAGAACCUUGACUAACACAGGAUAUAAAGCACUUGGCACAUUUCUUCCUGGCACACAGGUGUCCAUUUUAUGAGAAACUGUUAUUAGUAAGCUUCCUGAAUCUAAGAUUCCUCAUUUAUACAAUAAGGGGGUUGAGCCAGUAAUCUCUGGGAUAUGAUCCAACUCUAACAUUCUAGUACUUAAGAAACUUAAUGUAUUAGAGUCCUAUAUCAUAAAAGUUACCAUUACAUGUAGGAAAAACAAAUUAAAGUGCCCAAACCUUUUUCUGUUGAUUGUCCUGACAUAAUUGCAGUAUUAUUUAUGCAUCACUGCUGUUUUUCAGUUUCAUAGUGUGCUGAAAAGUAUGUUUAAUAUGUUCUUGAUAUAAUAUUGAAUAUAAAAAUAAAUUUUGUAAUGUCCCCCAAAUUUCCACAUCAGAGAGAACUAUGUUCUUAUGCUUGUCAUAUCACAUGCUGGGAAUUGUGGUUCCAUUGGGAAAAUUCAGGUAAAGAAGCGGUUGGGAAGGAAGUCUCAUUUUCUGGGAACCUCUGUGCUGUGUGCCAGUAGAUUUCACAGGGGAAAAGUGUAAUGAGAGGUAGGAAUUAUUAAGGUAAAAGUGUGGUUUUGAUUUCUGAGUUUGUUUUAUUUACUCAUUCGUUCCUUUAAAGAAAAACCAACAGAACCUUACUUUCUAAAAAUAAUGCGAGUUUUCAUUUUUGAGAGCUCUUAUUUAUAUCAGCACACUCCUCUCCCCAACUGAAGAGGUAUUCUCCUUUUUCUGCUUUAUUAGCAGAAUUUGUUACCUCCUGACAUAUUUGUCAUUUUGGUUUUUGUUUGUUAUUCCCACUAGAAUAUAAGUUCCAUGAGAGCAGAUUUUGUCUGCUGUGUUCAGUACCGUAUCCUGAGAGUCUAUAAGUAUAUACAGUAGACACUCAAUAAAUAUUUGUUAAAUAUGCAAAAAUAGCUGGAAACAAAUUUCCUGUUCUCCACUACUCUGACAAUAAUAAUUGUUUUUCACUGAGCGUAAUCUCCUUGGUUGCAUUAUUUGUUCUUUUCCUUUAGAAGGCAGAAGUCUUGGUAAAGAAUAUGGCAUAUCUUUGUUCAUCUUUCCUUAAAAGACACUUUAAAACUUCCCAGUUGCAAAUCUUUAAGGAAUGGUGAAUAGCUUUAUUUCCAGGUUAAUAUUAUAGUUAUGAAAAAGUUGCUCCUGUUGAAUCUUCUUGUGAUAAGCUGUAACAGUUUUAGUAAUCAGAGCCUGAAGUGAUUGGACAGUCAUGGGAUUUGGAAUUAGAUGACCCAGGCUUUGGUCACGUCCUCAGUAAACCUUCAACAUGCCUCUUUUUGUCUGUAUUUUCCCAUGCACUUCAUAGAGUUUGUUUUAAAUGAGUUAGGUUUGUAACAAACUCAGUAAAUGUUAAACUCACUAUACAAAUGUUCUUUAUACAAGAACACAAAUAUUGCAAAAGGAAAGGGAAAGUUAAAUUUUCUGAACAUCUAUUGCAUGCUUACAUAUUAUUUAACUUAGUCUUUGCAUCAGUCUUGCAAGGUUUGCAUUAUUAUUCUCAUUUUAAAGAUAUCAGAACUUGAGCUCAGAGAUGUUACUUAAGUGUUCCAAGGUCAGGUGGCUCAGUUCAGAUUUUGUUGAAGGUUUGAAGACUUCUUGGCUAGUGCUCUUUUCAUUAUGUCAUAUUAGCAAACAGAGGGAGAGUCAUGGCUGGUUUUAAGGCACAUUUGUGUGAAUUAGAGAAAGGUGCCUUUUCUGGGUGGCGACAGGGCUCCAAGUAUAAGGCUUGGACAGCUUGGGAAGCUUCCCAGUGAAGAAAAAGAUGUGCCCCUCUGUGGGUGGAUGUGGCAACAUACCACAGGAAGAGAUUUGGCAAGCCAAGCAUGAGCUGCUUUGAGCUCUACCUUUCCUUUUAGCUGCAGAACUGUAAGUGCAGCCCUGUACAAGGAAACAAUUCCUCCAACAACCUCAAAGAACUCAGUAAAAGCUUACACAAAGUUAUUGUCAUAUUCAUGUACGUCACAUUGUGGGAAAGGACAAUGUGGCCAAACUCAAAGCUGCAUGCACCAUGUUUCAGAGGAGAGUAGUUGGAAUUAUUUCUCUAUUCAUUAUUUAGGUAGAAACUUCUGAAAAGGCAGCAGGAAGAAGUGAUGUGCAGGAAGAAGAGCUGUCUUUUCUGGACUCUCUGUGGCCUCAGCGAUGAGAAGCAACUUGGUUAUUCCCCCCUCAUCAUAGAUCUUCAAAUCAUCAUAACCAUCAGAUCAAUUAUGACUGUGCAGAAUUCCCUAGACCUUACUAGAAUCUUUGGGAACUUGCCUCACUGCAAACAAUGGCCCUGCAGAAGUGCUCCGAUUUAUCUGUAGCAAAUGCUCCUGCAAUGGGUGGGCAUGUUAGGAAGACAAAUACACACACACACACACACACACACACACAUAUAUAUAUACACCCACACACAUAUAUAUACAUAUAUAUGGCUUUGCACUGAAAUGUGUUGCUUUGUGUGUGUGUAUAUGUGUGUGUGUGUGUGUGUGUGUGUGUAUUAUUAGGCAUUGGCUGAGUAAUUCAAAAGAGAUAUUGAAGACUGAAAAGUGCCUCAACAGAUAACCUGGAAGAUUUCUAAUACCUCAAGGCAAGCAACCACCAUGAAACAUGCUUCUUAGUAUGCAGGAUAGAGUUGGAUUUUUUUUUUAUUGUACCUGGCUGCAGGUGCAGGCCAUGGUUACUGAAGGACGUUUUCUCCCCUUGACUGCCCAGUGGUGGAGAAUGGAGAACAGGUCACUCACUGGGUGGGGCAUGCAUAUUCUCUUCUACAUUCUGUCUUCAGAUCUCUAUCUAUGAGGACCUUCAUUCCCUAGGAGUGCUUCUAGCCACAGGGCACUGUUAAUAAUGUCUCAGCUUAUUUUUGUACCUCAUCAACAAUGAGAAUUGGUGCUAUUAGUGUCCAGACCAUUCCUUUUUUUUUUUUAGACAGGGUCUCCCUAUAUUGCCCAGGCUGGUCUCAAACUCCUGGGCUCAAGGGAUCCUCUUGCCUCGGCCUCUCAAAGUGGUAGGAUUACAAGAGUGAGCCACCACCCCUGGCCUCAGCUCAUUCCAUUCAGUUCCCAAUCUAGAAUAUUGGUUCUUCCAGCUUUUCUGAGAAUAUUUGUCACCACCAUUCCUUCACUGAACUCCUCUAAAACAACUUCUACAAGAGAUUUCAUGUUUUUUUUACUAUUAUUAUUAAUGACAGAUUUGUUAACAAGAGUAGGGGAUUUGGAGAGGCCUGGUUUGUGGGGAAAGUGUUUCUUUUAAAAAUGAUUUUUAGACUUUUGUUACAAAAUAAUAUUUAAAAUGUGUAUGAGGUAUAAAGAAUAAUGACAGAAUGAAUGACUCCACACCAAUUAUGUAGUUUAAGGAAAGGCAUGUUACUGUUAUUUUUGAGGCUUCUUGAAUGCCUCUCUCCAUUUAUCCCAUGCCUUCUUUUUCUCUUGCUUUUAUUUUAUUGUAUUUUUUAAUUGACACUUACAAAUUGUGUGUACUUAUUCUGUACAACAUAAUGUUUUGAAAUGUGUAUACAUUGUGGAAUGGCUCAAUCAAGCUAGUUAGCAAGUAUAUUGCCUCACAUACUUAUUUUUUUUAUGGUGAGAACACUUAAAAUUUACUCUCAGUGACUUUCAUAAUACAAUGAUAUGAACUAUAGCCAACAUGUUGUCUGAUAGAUCUCUUGAACUUAUUCCACCUAUCUAACUGAAAUUUUGUAUCAUUUGAACAGUAUCUCUCUACCUCCCGCAACCCUGGUAACCACUCUUCUACUCUGUACUUCUAUAAUUUCAACUUUUUUAGACUCCGCAUGUAAGUAAGCUCAUGUGGUAUUUGUCUUUCUCUGCCUGUUUUAUUUCAUUUAACCUAAUGUCCUCCAGGUUCAUCCAACUGAAUGUAGGAAUUAUUCUUUAGUAGUUUGAUUUUAUUACUAUUUUGCAGAGCAGCAAGUUAAUCUUUCUCUGUAAUUAAUUAAUUUUUACUGUGUAGACUAUGCCACAAUUUAUUUAUCCAAAUGAAUUGGUGGCCAUUUAUUUAUUUAUUUUAUUGAGAUGGAGUUUCGUUCUUGUUACCGAGGUUGGAGUGCAAUGGCGUGAUCUCGGCUCACCGCAACCUCUGCCUCCUGGGUUCAGGCAAUUCUCCUGCCUCAGCCUCCCAUGUAGCUGGGAUUACAGGCACGGCCACCAUGCCCAGCUAAUUUUUUGUAUUUUUAGUAGAGACGGGGUUUCACCAUUUUGACCAGGAUGGUCUCUAUCUCAUGACCUCGUGAUCCACCCACCUCGGCCUCCCAAAGUGCUGGGAUUACAGGCUUGAGCCACUGCGCCCGGCCCAUAUCUUUUCUAUUGGGAAUAGUGCUACAAUGAACAUAUGCAUGCAUGUGAUUUUAUGGUAGAAUGAUUUAUGUUCCUUUGGGUAUAUACCCAAUAAUGGGAUUGCUGGGUUGAGUGUUAAUUUUAAGUUCUUUGAGGAGUCACCACACUGCUUACCACAAUGGCUAAACUAAUUUAUACUCCCACCAGCAGUGUAUAACAUUCUCUUUUCUCAACUUUUUAUUUAAUAGCUUCUACUUAUGAGUGGUAACACGUGAUAUUUAUCUUUUUCUGCUUGGCUUAUUUCACUUAAUAUAAUGUCCUCCAGAUGCGUCCAUAUUGCUGCAAAUGACAGAAUUUCAUUCUUUUUAUGGCUGACUUUUUCAUUGUGUAUAUAUAUACUACAUUUUCUUUAUCCAUUCCUCCAUUGACGGAUACUCAUGUUAAUUCUCUAUUUUGGCUAUUGUGAAUAGUGUUGUAAUAAACUCGAGAGUACAGAUAUCUUUUUGAUAUGCUGUAUAUCAAAGUUUUGGGUAUACACCAGCAGUAAGAUUGCUGGAUCAUAUGGUGGUUCUAUUUUUACUUUUUUUGAAGAACCUCCACACUCUUUUCCAUAGUGACUAUACUAAUUUACAUUCUCAGCAAUAGUAUACUGGUCUUCCUCUUUCUCUGCAUCCCAGCCAGCAUUAAAUAAUAUAAUAGCCAUUUUAACCGGGGUAAGAUGAUAUUGCAUUGUGGUUUUGAUUUGCGUUUCCCUGAUGAUGAGUAGUGUUCAGCAUUUUUUUUCUAUACCUGUUUGCCUUUGUUUAAAUUCUUUUGUGACAUGUCUAUUCGGAUAAUUUGUCCACUUUUAAAUCAAAUUAUAUGGCUUUUUGCUACUGGGUUGUUUGAGUUCUCUAUGCAUUUUAGUUACUAAUCUCUUGCCAGAUGAAUAAUUUGCACCUGUUUUCUCCCUUUCUGUAGGCUGUCUCUUCACUCUGUUGACUGUUUCCUUUGCUGUGCAGAAACUUUUUUGCCUGGUAUAAUCCCAUUCGUCUAGUUUUCCUUUUUUGCCUAUGCUUUAGGAGUCUUACUAAAAAAAAAACUUUGCCCAGACUAAUAUCUUUAAUCUUUUCCCUAAUAUAUGCCUCUGGUAGUUUCACAGUUUCAGGUCUUAGAGUCUUUAAUCCAUUGUGAUUUUAUUUUUGUAUAUGGUAAAAUAGGGACCUAGUUUCAUUCUUUUGCAUAUGGAUAUCUAGUUUGCCCAGCACCAUUUAUUGAAGAGACUGUCAUUCCCACAGUGUAUGUUUUUGGGACAUUGUAGGAAAUAAAUUGACUACAUGUACAUGGAUUUAUUUCUGGUUUCUCUGUUUUGUUCCAUUGGCCGAUGUGUGUUUUUGUGACAGUACCAUGUUGUUUUGAUUCAUAUAACUUUGUAGCAUGUUUUGAAGUCAGGUAGUGUGAUGCCUCCAGCUUCCCCCUGGCCUCAGGAUUAAUUUGGUGUCUUUUGUGGUUCCAUAGCAUUUUUUUCUGGUUACGUGAAGAAUUUCAUUGGUAUUUUUGAUAGGAAUUGCAUUUAAUUUGUAGAUCUCUUUGUGUUAUAUGGACAUUUUAACAAUACUAAUUAUUCCAAUCCAUGAGCAUGGGAGAUGUUUCCAUUUUUAGUGUCCUCUCCUAUUUUUAUCAUUGGUGUUUUAUAGUUUUCAUUUUAGAGGUUUUUCACUCUUUUGAUUAAAAAAGAAAGUAUCCCUAGGUAUCUUUUUUGUAGCUGCAAAAAAAAAAAAAAAAAAAACCCUAGGUAUUUCUUUUGAUUUAUUUUUCAGUUUGUUCAAUGUUGAUAUAUAAAUGCUACUGAUUUUUAUAUGUUGAUUUUGUAUCUUGCAACUUUACUGAAUUCAUUUAUCCGCUCUAACAGCUUUUUGGUGGAGUCCUUAGAUUUUUCUAAAUAUAGAAUAAUGUCAGCAAACAAGAAUAAUUUGACUUCUUUCUUUAUAAUUUGGAGGUUCUUUAUUUCCUUCAGUUGCCUAAUUGCUUGGCUAGACUUCCUAUGUUGAAUAACAGUGGUAUAAGUGGGCAGCAUCCUUGUAUUUUCCCAGAUGUUAGAGGAAUGGUUUUCAAUUUUUUUUUCCAUUCAAUAUGAUGUUAGUUGUGUGUUUGUCACAUAUCGUCUUCAUUGUUUUGAAGUAUGUUCCUUCUAUACUGAGUUUGUUGAGAGUUUUUUAAUUAUGAAAGAAUGUUUAGUUUUAUUAACUGCUUCUCAGCUGCUUUUGAAAUGAUUAUAUGGUUUUUUUUGUUGCUUCCAUUAAUGUAAUAUAUUGUUUAUUCAUUUGUGUAUGUUGAGCCAUACUUCCAUCCCUGGAGUAAGGUCCAUUGAAUAGUGGUAUAUUAUAUUUCUGGUGUGCUGUUGGAUUUGUUUGCUAGCCUUUUAUUGAGAACUUUUGCCUCUGUGUUCAUCAGGGAUAUUGAUUUGCAGUUUUCUUUUUUUGUUGUGUCCUUGUCUGGUUUUGGCCUUGUAGAAUGAGUUUGGAAAUAUUCACUCCAAUUUUUUGAAUAGCUUGAGUAAAAUUGGUAUUUGUUUUGUCAUUUCACAUUAUUUUAAUUUUUGUUUCCUUGAUUAUAUAAGAUGAAAACAUUUAAAAUAUAUUUAUUGGGCAUUUUCAUUCUGUUUUCUGUGAUAUAUUUUACCUAAAUUUUAAUUGUGCUUCUUUAGGGAAUUCUUUCUUUAUUCUGAAUACGAAUUCUUUGUUAGUUAUAUGCAUUGCAAAUGUCUUCUCCCAUUUGCAGCUUAUUAGUUUUUUUUUAAAAACAUAAUGUCUUUUGGGGAAAUUAUUAUUAUUAUUAUUGAGAAGGAGUUUUGCUCUGUCGCCUGGCUGGAGGGCAGUGGCAUGAUCUUGGCUCACUGCAACCUCCGCUUCCCAGAUUCAAAUGAUUCCCCUGCCUCCCCCUCUCCAGUAGCUAGGACUACAGGCGUGUGCCACCACAAUAAGCUAAUUUUUUGUAUUUUAGUAGAGAUGGUCUCCAUCUCCUGACCAUGUGAUCCACUUGCCUUGGCCUCCCAAAGUGCUGGGAUUACAGGCAUGAGCCACCAUGCCCAGGAGGAAACUAUUAUUCUUAAUUUAAAAUAGUCAAGCUUAUUAAUUUUUCCUUUAUUAAUGGUUUGCAUUUUAAGCCUCUUCCUUAAGACUUUUUUCUAACAUGGUGGUCUUACAAAUAUUCUUUUGCAUUUUCUUUUAAAAGUUUGGCCAACUUGCCUUCAUAUUUAAGUUCAUUUGGUGCUGAUUUUUGAGUGUAUAAUGAGAUCAGUAUAUAAGUGUUUGUUUUUAAAUAUGUAUAUCCAAUUGUUGGAGCACCUCUGAAUAGCUCGUUACUGCUCUUCUAAUCUACAUUGCUCACUAUCAAAAAUAAAGUUAUUUUAUAUGUGUGAUUGUGUUUCUGGACUUUUUUUUCAUUGAUCAGUUUGUGUAACUCUGUAUCAAUCUCAUACCAUCUUAAUUAUAUAGUUAGUUUUGAUAUUGGGUAGUUUCUUGUCCAGAGUUUUUCUUUGUUUUUUUCCAUAUAAAUUUUAGUGUUAACUUUUCAAGGUUUAACAAA